CCCCUCUCAGGAUCACAACUGGAGAGUUUCCAGUACUCUACCAGUCUUGGUUUCAGGAGGAAGAGUCAAACAGAGGCAUACCCAUUCCAUUCCUAGAUUGGGCAGUGGCUAGCAAGUGGAGGGCAAUCUGGUACAAGU